rnacentral:tRNA from 1 species
GGGAUUGUGGCUUAGUAGUAGAGCACUUGCCUAGCAUGUGUGAGGCACUGGGUUCGAUUCUCAGCACCA